UGCAAAGAAAUGUGCCAUCUCCUUACCUC
rnacentral:piRNA from 1 species